rnacentral:rRNA from 1 species
UACGAAGGGGGCUAGCGUUGUUCGGAAUUACUGGGCGUAAAGGGCGCGUAGGCGGUACUUCAAGUCAGGCGUGAAAGCCCCGGGCUCAACCUGGGAACCGCGCUUGAGACUGGAGAACUAGAGUUCGGGAGAGGUUGGUGGAAUUCCCAGUGUAGAGGUGAAAUUCGUAGAUAUUGGGAAGAACACCGAUGGCGAAGGCAGCCAUCUGGACCGACACUGACGCUGAGGCGCGAAAGCGUGGGGAGCAAACAGG